UAAUUUGUAGAGGAUGUUUCGGGCACCGCUCCGGUUUAAAUUUCUUGGAACAGAAUGUCAAAGAGGGUGAGAACCCCGUCUUGGACCGGCAGUAGGGCCCAUGUGAAACUCCUUCGACGAGUCGAGUUGUUUGGGAAUGCAGCUCAAAAUGGGUGGUAAAUUUCAUCUAAAGCUAAAUAUUGGCCAGAGACCGAUAGCGCACAAGUAGAGUGAUCGAAAGAUGAAAAGCACUUUGAAAAGAGAGUUAAACAGUACGUGAAAUUGUUGAAAGGGAAGCGCUUGCAACCAGACUUGCGCGCGGCGGUUCCCCCUUCCUUUUGGUUGGGUUAUUCCGCCGUGUCCAGGCCAACAUCGGUUCUGGGGGUCGGUUAAAGGCCUGGGGAAUGUAUCUACCCUUCGGGCGUAGACUUAUAGCCCCGGGUGUCAUGCGACCUCCCGGGACCGAGGAACGCGCUUCGGCUCGGAUGUUGGCGUAAUGGUUGUCAGCGACCCG
rnacentral:rRNA from 1 species